UGGGGAAUAUUGGACAAUGGGCGGAAGCCUGAUCCAGCCAUGCCGCGUGUGUGAAGAAGGCCUUUUGGUUGUAAAGCACUUUAAGCGAGGAGGAGGCUCUUCUAGUUAAUACCUAGGAUGAGUGGACGUUACUCGCAGAAUAAGCACCGGCUAACUCUGUGCCAGCAGCCGCGGUAAUACAGAGGGUGCGAGCGUUAAUCGGAAUUACUGGGCGUAAAGCGCGCGUAGGUGGUUCGUUAAGUUGAAUGUGAAAGCCCCGGGCUCAACCUGGGAACUGCAUCCAAAACUGGCGAGCUAGAGUAGGGCAGAGGGUGGUGGAAUUUCCUGUGUAGCGGUGAAAUGCGUAGAUAUAGGAAGGAACACCAGUGGCGAAGGCGACCACCUGGGCUCAUACUGACACUGAGGUGCGAAAGCGUGGGGAGCAAACAGG
rnacentral:rRNA from 1 species